rnacentral:rRNA from 1 species
GCAAGUCGUGCGCCUCCAAGCUAUGAUGGAGACGCGGCGUACAGCUCAGUAACACGUGGCUAACCCACCCUUGAGACGGAGACAACCCCGGGAAACUGGGGCUAAUCCCUGAUAGGAGAAGACACCUGGAAGGGGUCUUCUCCCAAAAGGCGCUUAGAUCAUGCUUCUAGACGUCGCUCAAGGACGGGGCCGCGGCCGAUCAGGUUGUUGGUGAGGCAAUGGCUCACCAAGCCUAUAACCGGUACGGGCCGUGAGAGCGGGAGCCCGGAGAUGGGCACUGAGACAAGGGCCCAGGCCCUACGGGGCGCAGCAGUCGCGAAAACUCCGCAAUGCACGAAAGUGUGACGGGGCUACCCCGAGUGCCGUCCGCUGAGGAUGGCUUUUCCUCGGUGUAAUUAGCCGGGGGAAUAAGGAGAGGGCAAGACUGGUGUCAGCCGCCGCGGUAAUACCAGCUCUCCGAGUGGUAGGGAUGAUUAUUGGGCUUAAAGCGUCCGUAGCCGGCUUAGCAAGUCUCCUGUUAAAUUCAGCGACCUAAUCGUUGAGCCGCGGGAGAUACUACUAGGCUAGGAGGCGGGAGAGGCCGACGGUACUUCCGGGGUAGGGGUGAAAUCCUAUAAUCCCGGGCGGACCACCAGUGGCGAAGGCUGUCGGCUAGAACGCGCUCGACGGUGAGGGACGAAAGCUGGGGUAGCGAACCGGAUUAGAUACCCGGGUAGUCCCAGCCGUAAACGAUGCGGGCUAGGUGUU